rnacentral:rRNA from 1 species
AAUUUUGGACAAUGGACGCAAGCCUGAAUCAGCCAUCCCGCGUGAUUGAAGAAGGCCAUCGGGUUGUAAAGUUCUGUCGGACGGACAGAAAUGCCGCAGGCUAAUACCCUGCGCGGAUGUCGGUACCGUCAUCAGAAGUACCAGCUAACUACGUGCCAGUCGCCGCGGUAAUACGCAGGGUGCGAGCGUUAAUCGGAAUUACUGGGCGUAAAGCGUGCGCAGGCGGUUGAUUAAGACAGGCGUGAAAUCCCCGGGCUUAACCUGGGAACUGCGCUUGUGACUGCAAGGCUGGAGUGCGGCAGAGGGGGAUGGAAUUCCGCGUGUAGCAGUGAAAUGCGUAGAUAUGCGGAGGAACACCGAUGGCGAAGGCAAUCCCCUGGGCCUGCACUGACGCUCAUGCACGAAAGCGUGGGGAGCAAACAGG